CCACAGCCGUCCGCUUCUCCCCGCCGCCACUUCACCGGCGCCUCCUCCUCCUCCGCCACCGCCUCCUCCCGCUCCGUCCCCGCCUCAGCCCCCUCCCGUGCCCCGGGCAACCCUGCUCGCCCCCGGCUGCUCCUGGUGGCCGGAGGCCGCUGGCGAGGGGCGGCGGACGGGAGCCGCGCACCUCCGGGAGCCGGGGGRACUAAUACAACUGUUCAGCUCUCCCCCGGGAAUGGUGUAAAGUAAAUAUAGGAGUUCCUGAAAAAUAACAGUGUGAAUGAGAGAGGCUCUCCGCAGUAUUUAGUGUCCAGUUGUACUGGCUCCGAAGAACAGCAGCGUCGCAAUGCCCCCUCCUGCUGAUAUAGUGAAGGUGGCGAUUGARUGGCCAGGUGCCUUCCCCAAGUUAAUGGAAAUAGAUCAA